rnacentral:rRNA from 1 species
GGCUCCGGCCCUAUCAGCCUGAAGCGCCCGAUUCCGUCUGAUCUCGGAAGCUAAGCAGGGUCGGCUCCUGUUAGGUCUUUGGAUGGGAGACCACUGGGAAUCCCGCUGCUCGAGGCU